ACUUGGCCAGUUCACUGAGGGUCUGCAUGAUCUGCUCAGAUGCUGGUGGGAGCUCCAUGCUUGCAUGGCUGUCCUGACCUGGCGACACUGUGUGAGCUGUUGCCAGAGGGGUCCGGAGCAGUCUGG